UUUACACUGCAAGCUCUAGCGCGGCAAAACCCUAGAAUGUUUAAAUUCUGCUAUUGUUUACGUUUUUACCCCUCUGCUCAUCUCUUUAGAAGUCAAUACAUUCACAUUGUCAGCCAUGUUGGAUCAUUGAUAUCAGAAAAUGGGAACCAGCAUGUUAGGGAUCUGAAUGGAAUAUCAUGAUAACAGCAUGUGCAUCAGUUUGACCUUCCACUUCUCUCUCUUCCUUUCUUUUCCCAUCUCCUUCUUCUUCCAUUUUCUACAGACUUCCCUCAUCUCAGUUUCAUUUUUUUCCUUUUCAAAACCAUAGUUUCUUCUCUCUCUCUCUCUCUCUCUCUCUCUCUCUCUCUCUCUCUCUCUCUCUCUCUCUCUCUCUCUCUCUCUCUCUCUCUCUCUCUCUCUCUCUCUCUAACCCAUGACCAAACAAUGAAUCUCUCUCUCUCUAUACAUGUUUUCUGUUCAAUCAGGGGAAAAGAGAAACAACACCGGCACCGCACCAAAUUAUGCAGAAUCUAUCCAGAGAACAAUCGGAAGAGGAAGAAAAGAAAUCGAAUCCGAAUACGAAUCCAAUCCUCGACUCAAUUCUUAUUGAAGGAUGAAGGAGAGGGAGGGGUAAGGCAAGAAGGUGAAGGAUAAGGAGAGGUUGAAGAAGAAGAAACUUUCUCAUCUCUUUUUUCUGAUUUCUUGAACGCUGGAUCAAAGGAGCGAAGAUGGUGGUUGCUCCUCUUCUUUGUGAACGCCAUUGUUCGAUUGAGAAGAGAAAUCAAAUGGAUUUUUAGUUGCUCCUCCUCUUCUCCGUGACUAAGUUUAUGAGUUUUCAAAUUGGUGGUUGGAAAAAGAGUAGGAGAAGGGAAAAAUAUUUCAACUCAUGAGCCUUCCUAUAGUGUCUGCACACCAACCUAUAUAGUAGAAGUGUCUCAUACAAGGAUUCACCACUUUCCUCACAACAUCUAAUUAUUUUUGAAAUGUUACAUUUUUGAUUUUUUUUUUCACAGUAUUUAUGAUAUGUUUAGUGUUUCAAGGUUUUAUUUCCGACG
rnacentral:lncRNA from 1 species